rnacentral:misc_RNA from 1 species
GGCUCGAGUGGGCCUUGUACAGAGUGUGUUUGAGUGUGUUAUGGCGGCCUUUGGGGCAAGCCACUAGAGCCGAGGGAGGUGGAGUUUGCCUCUUUUCAGGCCUUAUUUCCUCUCCUCUUGUAAAUUUCCUCUUUUCCUCCGGUACAAGAGGAGAAGUUGCAACACAUAAUGGACAAGCCAGAGGCAGAAAACAUGGAGACUGAUGACGCAGAAAAUCCUCUGUUGGAGAAGAACUUGGAGGAACAAGGUGCUGGAAAGUCAAGUGAAGGAGUGAGAGAGGGAGAUGCGAGUGAUGAAACGAAAACAGGAGAGGGAAGUGAAGGAAUGAAGGAGGGAGAUGAAAGUGAAGGAGUGGAGGAUGGAGACAGAAGUGAAGAAGUUAAAGGAGAUAGAAGUGAAGGAGUUGAAGAAUUAGACACAAGUGAGGAAGUGAAAGAAAGCUGUGAUUCGCCAAAGGACGCUAAUAUUCAAAAUGUGAGUGUUGACAGAGACAGUGCGUCAGAGGAGAGCUGUCACAAAGACAUCGAUAGUGUGACGGUGCUUGAAAAGGAACCGGAGAAAGAACAGGAUAUGGAGUGUGGGGUAGAUCCCUUACUUGAGACUAAGGAUAAAGAUGCUGAUGAGGAUGGUAAGGGGGAUAGUGAGAAUGUGGAGAGUGAGGAAAAUAAGGAGGAGACCAACGUAGAUCUUACGGUGUGCGAACCCGAAAAUGUCGAAAGUGCUGGUGAUAAAGGUAGUUCUGAAGACAAUGAGAAAGUGAAUUCUCAGUUAGAAACGGGUGAUAGUGAGUCCACAGAUUUGCAGAAAAGUAGUUCAUGUAGCAGGACUGCAAAUGAGGACAUCGCGGGGGAGAGAGCCAAAGAGGAUAUUGAAGACUCUGAGGGGGACAAGGGCAAUAAGAAUAGUCAGGGAGUGGAAGUGAUGGAAGUAGAUGCAGAGGAAGAGAGUGGGGAAUUGGUGAAUGCUCAGGAAAAGAAAGAUGAAGAUGCAGAAGAGGACAUAAUUGAAGUAGAAGUGUACAAAAAGCCAGCUGAAGUGGUAGACUUGGCCAAUGAUGAAGAAGCAGAGGUAAAUAGAGAAGACAAAGAAGAAGAGGGUGAAAAAGAUGCUGUCACUGAUGACCAGUUAUUGGAAGGCAAUAACAAAGGCAUUAAAUUGAGGUCUCUAGCUUCACUUGUAGAGGAGAACCAAGAGCAGAGAAGUGAUGAGAACUCCAGCGAAUCGACUAUCUCUGUGGCCACACCAAUGGCAGAUGGGCCGCCCAUUGGUGAGAUCCUAGAGCAUGGGGAGAUCAUAGGCCCAGCAGAAAUGGGUGGACUACAGUUGAGGAUCUCCAAUGUGGUUGGGGGUGAGGACAGCAUCACGGGGCUCUCCACUGAUGAGGACCGGGAUGCCUUUUGCAACAUCCAGAUUUCGUCAGUGACCACACUGAUGGACCCAAUGAGUCCUGAAGACCCCAACCAGGACAAGAGCCUGUGCUCGCCUGAGAAGGAAUUAGACCGAGAGAAGCAACUCCACAAUGACCACGGUGAUGAGCCAGGGAAAGAAGGCGAUGACUCAGCGGUCGGCUCGAUAAAAAUUGUCAAUUCCGAGAGCCUGGCCGAAAAAGACGGAGAGAAGGAAGAUGGCGGGGAAGGGGAUUCCGAGGGGCCAAAAAUUAGACUCAGUAGCGCUGUGUCGGAGGUUGCCAAAGAUGUUGGAUCAGCUGAUGACGAUAUGAGUAAUAAAAAUGUUUACCACAUAUUGAAGAGUAUACUGACUGUAAAUCGCAUUUGUCUAGUCUGCACAAAGGCCACUGUGUGCGAGUUUCGUGUCAAGAAGAAGCUCAAGCAGGCAGUGCACGGCUUCAUCUGCACGCAGGAGUGCAAGACCAGGUGGAUAGAGAACCUCCCAUCAGAUCAUUCUGUCGAAAAGCCACGGCUCAUUUUCGAAAAGCUGUGUGGGAUGUGCGGCAAGGACCUAAGCUCCCUUAACAGAAGCAACCAGUUUUCAUGGGAGACGCGGGAGUUUUGCUCACAGAGCUGCUUGACCUUACACUUAAAUGAAGUUGCUGGUAGGUGUCACACUUGUCAUGAGAGAGUACGCAUCCUCUUCAUUGGCAAAUACUGUGUAAGAUUUGGCUCCGACAUCCACCAGUUUUGCUCAAACACGUGUUUGGAAUGUUACAAGACCAAGAUCAAGGUGUGCUGCUACUGUCAGAAGAACUUAGACAAGGUUGAGAAAGUUACCUCUACGGCAAAUAAGGAGUAUUGCAGCACCAAAUGCCUGAAGCGGACCCAGAGGAGAGAUAUAGGCCAACAGAACUACAGUGAAAAGCUCCCCUGUACUGUAUGUCAGACCCCGGGAGUGAACCGUUAUGAGUUCCUCUUGAACGGAGAGCCCCACCAACUCUGUUCAGAUCCCUGCUUGAAUGUCUACAAAUAUGUGAAUAAAGUGAAAGCCGUCGCGUGCUGCCUAUGUUUUCGUGUAAUGAAUGCGGAGGAGGUGUGCCAUUACCUCUACCAUGGGGGACAUCAGCUGAGAGUCUUCUGUUCUGACUCAUGUGUAAAUGUUUUCAUCCUCUCAGCCAGAAAGAUAGUAGUUUGUGACACGUGUAAGGUUAAGAAAUAUAACUUUGAUAUGAUUCAUAGGCAGAUUGAUGAAGAUUUCCUAGAUUGUUUCUAUUGCUCAUUAAAUUGUUUGAAAUUUGAUCAAAGACCAAGGAAAUCUGUGGCAAGUGGGACUUCCACCACUACAGAAAAUUCAACAAGCACCACAACUACCACAACCACCACUAGUUCUGAUGCCUCAGUCACCUCUUGCAACAUGUGCUCUGCACUGGCCAAGGCACAAUACCACAUGGUUAUGUCAGAUAACACCUUGCGUAGCUUUUGCCGAUACUCAUGUGCAACGAAGUUCAAGUCCACAUUUGGAUUCCAAGUGGAUGGAGUGCAGACAACAAGCAGGCAAACCACAGUCAAGUCAGGUACACUUAUCAGGCAUAAACCGUCUGCUCAGGUAACCACUGAAUCAGUACAGACAACUGACAGCAUUAGCCAAACCAAACAGAAGACAACAGUUGAGUCAGCACAAGAUACAUUGAAUGGAAGUGCUCAGCCCAAGGCACAGCAUCCCCCUGCAUCGGCAGCAGAACUAUUACAGCUUCUAAAACCUCCUGUUAUGGUGAAUAAAAUGACAUCGUGCCGCCCCAUGCAAAGCACAAAGGGCGUUUUCUGCAAGCCGCAUCCUUGGCACAGACAGACACAGACAGACCCAGUGUCGGACAAUGACAACACGCCAGCCAUCUCAGCGUCCAGUUGGAAGCCCCCUCCAAUCCUGCCCAUUCCAAUCCCUGUGUACGUGCCAUCACCUAUGAUGAUGUACAAUGCACCAUGCCCUGUGCCUAUCUUCGUGCCCGUGCCCCUGCCUGUGCCCGUGUUCAUCCCCACGACAGCCAAGACCACGGAGGAAAUCAAGCAGAUGAUGACGAAAAUUCGCGAGGAGAUGCCAUCUGACCCCUAUGAGGCUGAGAUGCUGCUCCUGGCGCGGGCCGAGAAGCACAAAGAGUUGGCGGAAGAAGGGGGAGGAGAGACAGUGCCCACUGAUUUGCCAAAUGAGGAGGGCGCGGCAGUCGCAGAAGUGGAGAAUUUCGAUACAUUCCCGGAGGAGGAAGAGGCCAUCAAUGAUGAUUUAGACUCGGCGGACAUCACCUGUUUGAACACGAUAGAGGAGGACCUUCCAGUAUAUCCCCUAAGACUAUUAGACAACCUCGGCACUUCACAAUGCAGUCCGCUUUCAGGAGACACAGAACCCCUAGACACCAGAAGCAAGAGACAGAUACCCUCGCACACAGAUUCAGGACGGCCCAGGAAGAGGCUACGGCGUGCACACAGUAACGACUCACAGUCCAUGUCAGACCCAGACGACCCAGAACCUGAGCCUGAGGCAGAAACCAUGCCAGAAGCCCUUCUUGAGGAAGACUAUCAGGGGCCCUAUCUCAAUAUCUGAAGAAGCCCAAUGGGGAAACCUACCAGCCCGAUACUAUCUAUUACCUUCUCCUCGGCAUUCAGCAGCACCUUUUUGAAAGUUCAAGAAUAGACUGUAUCUUCAUGGAUUUUGGAUUUGAGAAAUUCACCAAC